AUUGAACGCUGGCGGCAGGCCUAACACAUGCAAGUCGAACGGUAACAGGAAGCAGCUUGCUGCUUCGCUGACGAGUGGCGGACGGGUGAGUAAUGUCUGGGAAACUGCCUGAUGGAGGGGGAUAACUACUGGAAACGGUAGCUAAUACCGCAUAACGUCGCAAGACCAAAGAGGGGGACCUUAGGGCCUCUUGCCAUCGGAUGUGCCCAGAUGGGAUUAGCUAGUAGGUGGGGUAACGGCUCACCUAGGCGACGAUCCCUAGCUGGUCUGAGAGGAUGACUCGCCACACUGGUACUGAGACACGGUCCCGACUCCUACGGGAGGCAGCAGUGGGGAAUAUUGCACAAUGGGCGAAAGCCUGAUGCAGCCAUGCCGCGUGUAUGAAGAAGGACUUCGGGUUGUAAAGUACUUUCAGCGGGGAGGAAGGGAGUAAAGUUAAUACCUUUGCUCAUUGACGUUACCCGCAGAAGAAGCACCGGCUAACUCCGUG
rnacentral:rRNA from 1 species